rnacentral:rRNA from 1 species
UACGGAGGAGGCAAGCGUUAUCCGGAAUUAUUGGGCGUAAAGCGUCCGUAGAUGGUUUUGUCAGUCUGCUGUCAAAGCACAGGGCUUAACCCUGUAAAGGCAGUGGAAACUACAAGACUAGAGUGCAGUAGGGGCAGAGGGAAUUCCCAGUGUAGAGGUGAAAUUCGUAGAUAUUGGGAAGAACACCGGUGGCGAAGGCGGCGAGCUGGUCCGUAUCUGACGCUGAGGCGCGACAGCGUGGGGAGCAAACAGG